UACGGAGGGAGCUAGCGUUGUUCGGAAUUACUGGGCGUAAAGCGCACGUAGGCGGUUACUCAAGUCAGAGGUGAAAGCCCGGGGCUCAACCCCCGGAACUGCCUUUGAAACUAGGUGACUAGAAUCUUGGAGAGGUCAGUGGAAUUCCGAGUGUAGAGGUGAAAUUCGUAGAUAUUCGGAAGAACACCAGUGGCGAAGGCGACUGACUGGACAAGUAUUGACGCUGAGGUGCGAAAGCGUGGGGAGCAAACAGGAUUAGAUACCCGGGUAGU
rnacentral:rRNA from 1 species